AUCACAUCCCUCACAGAAAAGCAGUAGCCUUUGGAGGUACCAGGAGCUGAUCUGAACUGCAGAAUUUCUCCAGGAGACAUCUGAAUGAAAAAUGCACCAGAAGAUUGGAAUAUAGGAAAUGUCAGAAUCACUUGGCUUCUCCAUCCAAUCUGAGAUGACAAUGACAACACAGCAAAUUGUAUCCCACAGGCUUCUCCUCAAGGUGGUGGGAAUUUGAUAAUGUUAACAUAAGUAUCUAAGCCACAUUAGAUACUGCUGGUCUCUUACCUGGCCCCCACCUGCAGAAUAAUAAGGGAGCUCCUAGUCCUACCAUGUCUGUUCUAUGCGAAUGUCUGACACUCAGAAGAUCUGAAAUAUCAGUGAAAGUCUAUGUGCUUAGACAACUUAACUGCUUCUGGAGUGAGGGAAGUGGAACAAGGCAGCCCAUUACUUUCACUGAAGCCUGAGUCAGUGCCUUAGUUAAUUAAAAAGCUGACUCAUUUUUUUUAAUGAAGCGUCUUUUGAACUAUUUGCAGUUUCAUUUUUCCUUGUCUUUUAUUUGAAUUAGUAUAUAUACAUUCGUGGCACCAUUUUCUUGCAGCUUCAGUUGCAGAUUAUGACCUCAUAGUCUCAUAGUCAUACAAGUUAUGCUCAUCUUGGAGGAGCACAGAUUGUACUGUGAUGAUAUGGAGUUUCAAAACUAUAUACCUGCGUGGAUGCAGAUGAUACCUCUUUUCUCUGAUCUACCUUAAUGUGGUCUGCCUUCACUCACCUCCAACAUGCAGUAACCUUAGAUUUGUGGUAGUGGAGGGGUCUGACAAGACGUUAUUGUUUUGUGAUCUAUAACAGGCUUUGUUCAGUGAGAAACAGCUAUGCUGUUUUCUGCAGAGCAGCCCUUGCCCCAGGCUGUAUGACAGGUUGCUCUGGGCAGCAUCAUGGGGGGCUUUCAAGGAGGUAGAAGGGUCAUUUCCAGUGGGACUGGUGCUAGUCUCUGCUACUGCUGUCUACAUUUGUCAGGGUGGCCUUAACUGGAGUCUUCCCUGAGGUCUGCAAAAUGUGUGAAUAUGUUCCUUCUUUGAAAAGAAAAAUACACCUUUGGUGAGGGCUCAUCAUUUCUGACGAUGAGUUUGACAGAAGUUGUCUGCUCUCUUCCUUGCUUUGGAGGGAUCCUUCCUCAGGAUUAUUGCUGUUACCUGAAUCUGUCCUCAGUGGACUGCUCACUUCAAUAACAAAAGAUUUAGUGGCAGGAACUGAGUUAAGGUCUCAAAGAGAGAAACAGAGAUGGGAGAAUUAGACAGACUAGCGACUGAAGUAACUUACUAAUGUAACACUAAUGUACAGCAAUUAUACAUUUGAAUACCGUGUGUCCUUCGUUGUUCUGCUGCGAAAUCCAUUAGAUGGCAAAAGAACACAGAUUUGCACUGAUAUUUUUGAGGAAAAAUGCAAACAAGAUAUCAGUUGUAUUUCCUAUGAAAAGCAGAUUUGCAUUCUUUGGACAAGCAUUUAGGGAUGUGUAAUAUUAUUUGUAUAUCAGUCCUUAUGUGUAUAGCAUUAAUUAGAUAUGCAAAAAUUAUUAGUAUGCAAAAUAUUAGGUAUGGAACCCAUGUUUUUAUUGUGGUAAGAACCCAUAGGGAGAUACCGGUGUGCAAUGAGCUAUAAAAAUGUAAAAUAAAGUACUAGUAAUGUGUGAUUUCUAAUACUGAGCCAGUGAGUUAUAUUUCUAAACCAGAAAUACAGCCUUUCUGUUCUUCUCCCCUCCCCUGGGUUUCAUCUAAUAUUGGGACAUAAAUCGUGAGAUCUGUAAGUAAAACAAAAUCCAUGGAAAAUAAAGAGACAGUAAAAU